rnacentral:rRNA from 1 species
GAUGAACGCUGGCGGCGUGCUUAACACAUGCGAGUCGAACGAGAAAUGGAGACGGAAACCUUCGGGCGGAAGGCUUCAUUUCGAGUGGCGGACGGGUGAGUAACGCGUGGGUAACCUGCCUCAUACAGGGGGAUAACAGUUGGAAACGACUGUUAAUACCGCAUAAGACCACAGCACCGCAUGGUGCGGGGGUAAAAACUCCGGUGGUAUGAGAUGGACCCGCGUUCGAUUAGCCAGUUGGCGGGGUAACGGCCCACCAAAGCGACGAUCGAUAGCCGAUCUGAGAGGAUGACCGGCCACAUUGGGACUGGGACACGGCCCGAACUCCUACGGGAGGCAGCAGUGGGGAAUAUUGCACAAUGGGGGAAACCCUGAUGCAGCGACGCCGCGUGAGUGAAGAAGUACCUCGGUAUGUAAAGCUCUAUCAGCAGGGAAGAAAAUGACGGUACCUGAGUAAGAAGCCCCGGCUAACUACGUG